AUCCGGUCGCUUAUAAGAAAUCCCGCUAUGACCUCCAAAGAGCCAUCAAACAGGCAAAGUAUCAAAACAGGACUAGGAUCUAAUCUUACUAUGCCGGCCGUGAUGCUCGACGGAUGUGGCAGGGCUUGCAAACGAUCACAGAUUACAAAGGGAAGACCAGCCGUGAGCUGCCCAGCGACACGAGCCUACCAGACGAGCUAAAUGCCUUCUAUGCUCGCUUCGAGGCAAGCAACACUGAACCAUGCAUUGGACCACCAGCUUUUCCGGACGACCUAUAUACUAGGCGGUGUCAGAGGAAGGGCCAAAAAAUUGUCCAAGACUCCAGGCACCCAAGUCAUAGACUCUUCUCUCUGCAACUGCACGGCAAGCAGUACCGGAGCUCCAAGUCUAGGAGCAAAAGGCUCCUUAACAAUACUUAUUUUCCACCAUAAUUUGCAAAUAAAUUCAGAAAAAAUCCUACAAUGUGAUUUUCAGGAUUUCUUUUCUCAUUUUGUCUGUCAUAGUUCACGUGUACAUAUGAUGAAAAUUACAGGCCUCUCUCAUCUUUUUAAGUAGGAGAACUUGCACAAUUGGUGGCUGACUAAAUACGUUUUUUGCCCCACUGUAUGUACUGUGUUCUUGUAAUGAAAGAAGAUACCAUCACACUGAACCAACUUGGAAAGACAAUGCACAAUCCUUGGUUGGUGUGUAAAACAAUUUUUUGUCCAUCAUGGCUCCCUGCUGCAGACUGGAAUUGAAGUGGUCUCGCGUGGAGCUGGCUGUGUACCAGGCAUAUGAGAACCAGGGCGCUGUCUCACUGGACAUCCUACGGAAAGGCAACGUGGCAGAGUCCUCGUACAUCACCAUCAAGGUGAGAGAAGUCACAGCGACAGCUGGAGAGGAUUCCAUUCUGAGCCCUUCCAGCCUAAUCCAGUUUGAUCCUGGCGUGUCCAAAAGGAGCUGGUAGAUGGAGACUACCCAAGACCAACUGGAUGAGGUGUAGGAGACAUUUGAAUUGACUGGUGUCCCCUGAGGAGGCCGUGCUGGGCAGCACCUCCAGGGCUCAGGAAAAGGUGAGACUUUUGGGCAGAAGUACAGUCAUGCUGGCGUAACAAUGUGUUUGUCUAAAUUAGUAUGUUUUUUUAUCACAUUUACUUUACUAAGUAUUGAAUUUUUUUUAAUUUAACCUUUAUUUAACUAGGCAAGUCAGUUAAGAACAAAUUCUUAUUUACAAUGACUGCCUACCCAAGCCAAACCCUCCCCUAACCCGGAAGAUGCUGGGCCAAUUGGGCGUCACCCUAUGGGACUCCCAAUCACAGCUGGUUGUGAUAUAGACCGGGAUCGAACCAGGGUCUGUAGUGACGCAUCUAGCAUGGCGAUGCAGUGCCUUAGACCGCUGCGCCACUCGGGAGCCCAGAGCUCAGGCCGGCUCCUAUGCUGCAACGGGGUCUCCUGGAAGCCUUGGGCUCCCACUAAUGAGGUAAUCAACCUGAGAUGGAUAGUGCCUGAAACAAUAGCAAAUAAUGUACCCCCAUUAGUGGAGGCUGGUGGGAGGAGCGGGCUCACUGUAAUGGCUGGAAUGGAAUCAAUGGAACGAUAUCAAACAUAUGGAAACCACGUUUGACUACAUUCCAUUUACUGUACUCAAUUUCAGCCGUUACAAUGAGCCUGUCUUCCUAUAUCCCCUCCCACCAGCCUCCAUUGACCCCUAUAAUUCACCCAAUUGUGAUGUGAAUAUCAUACGUAGACUAUUUCAGGGUUGAGUAUGGGUUACCCGGGAAUCAUAUCUCAACAUUCUGGGCCAGUUUCCUGGACUAAGCUUGAUAUGUAUCAGGGAAACCGACCCUGUAUGUCAGUUGUUUCAUGUUUCAGUAACCUCAUUGGUUGGCCAUUCCUCCUCACCAACACAGAUGGUCAGUGCGCAGAUGUGUUGUAAGGGCUGGACUUAUCACAACGUUUACUGCCACUUCCAUAAUCCGUAGCACUGAGCACAGGGCGACAUGGAGCGCUGUCAUCAGGGAAUGCAGGGAGAGGUCACCAAGCCAAUCUGGUGGGCAUUUUCUCCAAGGCUGAUAUGGACUGGCUGUUGGACUUAAGUGGACGGAAACCAUUCUAGAUAGAACAGGAUACUUAUUUGACCUAUCUCCAUUGGCUGAAAAGUGACUCAACAUGCAUGUGUGUGCGUGCGUCUAACUCACCUCACUCACUGUCCUCUCCAUAUCUCAGGACUGAACAACAGUGAGAGUAGGGGACGCUGAGGGUGGGUGAGUGGAGAGCCCGUCACCUACACCAACUGGAGGAAGAGCACCAGGAGGUGUGUUCUGGUGUUGAGGAGAACCAGUCGGCAGAUCAGAGACUAAGACAGGCAGGGGACAUCGCUACGUGUGAUACGUCAAGACGUGAGCCAAGAGGGAUCUCUACGUUGGAUUCAAGAUAUGAAACAGAACUAUGUUUCUUUCUACUGCUAUUGCAACAGGAAAUGGAGCUGACUUCAUACAGCUAAUCAACAGAUGACCUAAAGGUACCCAAAUAAGUUAAUAUGGUACUACAGCAAUAGAUUGAAGAGGUCAGCUUCAAUUAAAGAGUUCAAGUAGUAGUAGUGCAUUAAACAUCAGUUGCAAACUCAAGUCGGCAAACAUGUCACAGAUGCACCGCUGAAGCUCUCAACGUCAUAUACACUCAGACCCCCCCUGUAGACAUGAAGGGAUGCACCUGGUCAGCAAAGCUGUGGUACGCAACAGCCUGUACUGUUGACACUGGGCAGGAUGGGUCCAUGGACUCACGCCGCUUACGCCAAAUCCUGACUCUGCCAUCAGCAACCGGGAUUCGUCGGACCAGGUGGUGUUUAACCACUCCUCAAUUGUCCACUGGAGCCGCCGCUUCUUGUUUUUAGCUGAUAGGAGUGGAACUCGGUGUGGACGUCUGCUGCAAUAGUGCGUUCUGAGAUGCUGUUCUGCCUGUUUGUGGCCUGCCUGUUAGCUUGCACGAUUCUUACCUCUCUCAUCAAUCAGCUGUUUUCACCCACAGGACUACCACUGACUGGAUGUUUUUUAUUUGCAGUUGUGGGUUAGGGUUACUAAAAUUACAUUGAUAUUUGCGCCUGUUAUUGUACAGGAUGUAUUUUAUUGUUAAAUGUAAUUGUGUGUUGUGUGCAAUUCUUAUAAAAUGUUAUAUUCAAAA